rnacentral:rRNA from 1 species
UACGAAGGGGGCUAGCGUUGUUCGGAAUCACUGGGCGUAAAGGCGCGUAGGCGGCUUUGUAAGUCGGGGGUGAAAGCCUGUGGCUCAACCACAGAAUUGCCUUCGAUACUGCAUGGCUUGAGACCGGAAGAGGUAAGUGGAACUGCGAGUGUAGAGGUGAAAUUCGUAGAUAUUCGCAAGAACACCAGUGGCGAAGGCGGCUUACUGGUCCGGUUCUGACGCUGAGGCGCGAAAGCGUGGGAGCAAACAGG